CCAGACUCCUACGGGAGGCAGCAGUGAGGAAUCUUCCACAAUGGGCGAAAGCCUGAUGGAGCAACGCCGCGUGCAGGACGAAGGCCUUCGGGUUGUAAACUGCUUUUAUAAGUGAGGAAUAUGACGGUAACUUAUGAAUAAGGAUCGGCUAACUACGUGCCAGCAGCCGCGGUCAUACGUAGGAUCCGAGCGUUAUCCGGAGUGACUGGGCGUAAAGAGUUGCGUAGGCGGUUGUAUAAGUGAAUAGUGAAAUCUGGUGGCUCAACCAUACAGGCUAUUGUUCAAACUGUACAACUUGAGAGUGGUAGAGGUCACUGGAAUUUCUUGUGUAGGAGUGAAAUCCGUAGAUAUAAGAAGGAACACCGAUGGCGUAGGCAGGUGACUGGACCAUUUCUGACGCUAAGGCACGAAAGCGUGGGGAGCGAACCGGAUUAGAUACCCGGGUAGUCCACGCCGUAAACGAUGGAUACUGGCUGUUGGAGGUAUCGACCCCUUCAGUAGCGAAGCUAACGCGUUAAGUAUCCCGCCUGUGGAGUACGGCCGCAAGGCUAAAACAUAAAGGAAUUGACGGGGGCCCGCACGAG
rnacentral:rRNA from 1 species